CUGUGGGUGGUGGAUGUGUGCAGGUCGAGCUCGUGUCUGAGGUUGUGCCUCAACCGUCGUACUCUUAUUGUGAACGAGGUGAUCGUGAUUCGUGAAGUAGAAGAAAAAUUACUCAAAGACCAAUGAUCAUGUUGCCUCAGUGUUUAAUUAUACCGUGAUUACUUUUGUUUCAUUUUGUUACUGAUGUUGUGUACACAGAUGCCGACAACAAAUCAUAAAGCAUAGUUGCUGUUGAAGUGUACCUUCGCUCGACAUGUCGCAAAGUACAAGUUUAAAGGAUCGCUACUCGACGUGCAGUUCGUUGCGCAGGCCUCUUUGAAGUUCGGAUCUCCCCCCCCUCCCCCUCCCUCCCAUCGUGGCCGUUCUACUCAGGAUGACUUGAAAGUUCACGGACUAUAAAGCAAAUCUCCUGUAACUUCAUUUACUGCGAAGCUCUGACUAAAAUUUCUGACAAAAAAGUGUCGAAUGAAGUUAUUUUCUGAACCAGUGUGACAUUGAAUGGAAAUUAUAUUUGAAUAUGUGUUCAAAUAUGUGUUAAGCGUUUAAAUAUUAUGCGUUUGAAAAUGAAGCCUGUUGAUGAGCGCUACGUUUGUUGCGGAUUUGUAGGCUAUUGUUUGUUAUCAAUUUGAAUUUUAAUUUUAGAUCGAAUUAUUCACGAACAUUAGGAUGGACUGACUGGUUCAAAGAAAAUCUUCAAGAUUGCUUCACUGCCUCUUGGAUGUGACAGGUAGCAUCGACGAGCAAUGACUGCGUCAGAAUCGUUAAAUACCUCGCGAAAGUGUUUGGAUAUGGCGGUAUAUUUUAGUAAAUAAUAUGAUUUUAAUACAGCCUGAGAAAUGUAACUGUCCAAAUAGAUGACAGAGCGAAAGAUUAGAUAGUUUUUCUAAAAAAUUAAGGCUUGUUGCCGGAAAACCAUUACACAGAAUCGACUAAAGACAUACGCCAAGUGUAGGAGUCAGUAGGACUGUUGAGAAAUGCCAUGGGACGGUAUUGUUUGUUAUGUGUUUAGCGUUAAGUGAGAUUAGGGACAGCAAAUUGUGGUAAACUGCUAAAAACUGCUCACAGUUUCUCUAAUGAAAUUUUCGUGUUAGUUCGAUUUCUGUAGUUGCGAGCCUCAGUAUUGAGAUCAGUAUUACGAUGUGGAAUGACAAGAAGGUAUAAAUCUUCAGUGAAUUAAGAUUCACGUAGGCGUGAAGAUAUAUGUCAACCGGAAAUAAUGCAUGAAAUAAAAUUCUCUUUGAAAUUCAUGUUCCACUGCCAACGACCUUCCACGCGAGCCCGUGCACAAAACCUGUUGGUGCCGUGAGACGUGCGCGGCAUCGUACGUGUACAGGUUCCUGUCCCGUUUGGUGUGGUCACAAUCAUUAACGUAUAGGUAAAUCCACUUCUUACGAUCAUGAUUCUAAGAGCAUCCUUGCUUGCCACGUGAUCUGAAUUGUGAAAAAAACAUUCCUGCAUGAUGUUUAAUUAUGAUCGUUGGUGUUCUACAUGCUUCCAUGAAUACCCUAUGGUGCUUUCAUGUUGAUCCACUUUUUUUUUGUUGAGACAGCGUGUGAGUUUAAAUACCCAUCAUAAUGCUUCUGAAACUGCAACUUAUAAAUACUAUUGUGAAUACUGUACGUACUAAUGUGUGAACUCUGCUCUGACGCUGCAACGCUCCAUAAUAAUCAUAGUAAAUUAUAACCUCAAACAUUACCUAUGAUCGGGAGGAUGACCUUCUGCCUACAAAUACAUUAAGCGUGUUAUACAACAGCUUUUUUGGGUCCCCAUGACGAUGAUAAGUUACUUGAUUGCUGCCCCGAGCUGGUGGCUCUGCAUUGUUACCUGACGACUUCGUCUGGAGACUCCGACUCCUUGACUGGACUCCUGCAGAAGGAAGAGCUCGAGUAUGGGGAGCAGCUGCUCAUCGUCCCAGUCCGUCAAAGAUGACACCUCAGUCAGGAGCGAAGACUUGGCGAUGGACGCAGCGUGAGUAUGACUUGU